UACGAAGGGGGCUAGCGUUGCUCGGAAUCACUGGGCGUAAAGGGUGCGUAGGCGGGUUUUAAGUCAGGGGUGAAAUCCUGGAGCUCAACUCCAGAACUGCCUUUGAUACUGAAGAUCUUGAGUCCGGGAGAGGUGAGUGGAACUGCGAGUGUAGAGGUGAAAUCGUAGAUAUUCGCAAGAACACCAGUGGCGAAGGCGGCUCACUGGCCCGGUACUGACGCUGAGGCACGAAAGCGUGGGGAGCAAACAGG
rnacentral:rRNA from 1 species